rnacentral:rRNA from 1 species
GUGGGGAAUAUUGGACAAUGGGGGGAACCCUGAUCCAGCCAUGCCGCGUGUGUGAAGAAGGCCUUUUGGUUGUAAAGCACUUUAAGCGAGGAGGAGGCUACCGAGAUUAAUACUCUUGGAUAGUGGACGUUACUCGCAGAAUAAGCACCGGCUAACUCUGUGCCAGCAGCCGCGGUAAUACAGAGGGUGCAAGCGUUAAUCGGAUUUACUGGGCGUAAAGCGCGCGUAGGUGGCCAAUUAAGUCAAAUGUGAAAUCCCCGAGCUUAGCUUGGGAAUUGCAUUCGAUACUGGUUGGCUAGAGUAUGGGAGAGGAUGGUAGAAUUCCAGGUGUAGCGGUGAAAUGCGUAGAGAUCUGGAGGAAUACCGAUGGCGAAGGCAGCCAUCUGGCCUAAUACUGACACUGAGGUGCGAAAGCAUGGGGAGCAAACAGGAUUAGAAACCCUAGUAGUCC